GAUGAACGCUGGCGGCGUGCCUAAUACAUGCAAGUCGAGCGAAUGGAUUAAGAGCUUGCUCUUAUGAAGUUAGCGGCAGACGGGUGAGUAACACGUGGGUAACCUGCCCAUAAGACUGGGAUAACUCCGGGAAACCGGGGCUAAUACCGGAUAACAUUUUGAACCGCAUGGUUCGAAAUUGAAUGGCGGCUUCGGCUGUCACUGAUGGAUGGACCCGCGUCGCAUUAGCUAGUUGGUGAGGUAACGGCUCACCAAGGCAACGAUGCGUAGCCGACCUGAGAGGGUGAUCGGCCACACUGGGACUGAGACACGGCCCAGACUCCUACGGGAGGCAGCAGUAGGGAAUCUUCCGCAAUGGACGAAAGUCUGACGGAGCAACGCCGCGUGAGUGAUGAAGGCUUUCGGGUCGUAAAACUCUGCUGUUAGGGAAGAACAAGUGCUAGUUGAAUAAGCUGACACCUUGACGGUACCUAACCAGAAAGCCACGGCUAACUACGUGCCAGCAGCCGCCGUAA
rnacentral:rRNA from 1 species